rnacentral:rRNA from 2 species
AAAGACUUGGUCCUAACCUUACCG